rnacentral:rRNA from 1 species
UACCAGCUCCGCGAGUAGUCGGGACGAUUAUUGGGCCUAAAGCGUUCGUAGCCGGUCUUACAAGUCUCUGGUUAAAUUUCAAGGCUUAACCUUGAGCGUGCUGGAGAUACUGUUAGACUAGGGGGCGGGAGAGGUUGAGGGUACUUCACGGGUAGGGGCGAAAUCCUAUAAUCCGUGAAGGACCACCAGUGGCGAAGGCGCUCAACUGGAACGCGCCCGACGGUGAGGGACGAAAGCCAGGGGAGCAAAG